rnacentral:rRNA from 1 species
UUUUGGACAAUGGGCGCAAGCCUGAUCCAGCCAUUCCGCGUGAGUGAAGAAGGCCUUCGGGUUGUAAAGCUCUUUCGCAAGGGAAGAAAACUUACUUUCUAAUAAAGAGUGAGGUUGACGGUACCUUGAUAAGAAGCACCGGCUAACUACGUGCCAGCAGCCGCGGUAAUACGUAGGGUGCGAGCGUUAGUCGGAAUUACUGGGCGUAAAGCGUGCGCAGGCGGCUUUGUAAGUCAGAUGUGAAAUCCCCGAGCUCAACUUGGGAACUGCGUUUGAAACUACAAGGCUAGAAUAUGUCAGAGGGGGGUAGAAUUCCACGUGUAGCAGUGAAAUGCGUAGAGAUGGGAGGAAUACCGAGGCGAAGGCAGCCCCCUGGAUAAUAUUGACGCUCAUGCACGAAA